CCUACGGGUGGCAGCAGUGGGGAAUAUUGCACAAUGGGGGAAACCCUGAUGCAGCGACGCCGCGUGAGUGAAGAAGUAUCUCGGUACGUAAAGCUCUAUCAGCAGGGAAGAAAAUGACGGUACCGGACUAAGAAGCCCGGCGAACGACGGGCCAGCAGCCGCGGUAAUAGGUAGGGGGCAAGCGUUAUCCGGAUUUACUGGGUGUAAAGGGAGCGGAGACGGCAGCACGAGGCUGGAGUGAAAUCCCGGGGCUUAACCCCGGAACUGCGUUGGAAACUGUGCGGCUGGAGUGCAGGAGGGGUAAGCGGAAUUCCUAGUGUAGCGGUGAAAUGCGUAGAUCUUAGGCGGAACCCCGGUGGCGAAGGCGGCUUACUGGACUGUCACUGACGUUGAGGCUCGAAAGCGUGGGGAGCAAACAGGAUUAGAUACCCCUGUAGUC
rnacentral:rRNA from 1 species